AAGAAGAAGACGGCGGAGACAUGAAUAGCAAUGGUGUGUGGAGAGGAGCCUAUCUACCCUGCAAAUCCACCUCCACGAAUCCGAGGUACCACCCACCCUCCUGAUCUCCUCGUUUUAUCCUCCAAAUACGAGGAAACACGUCCGCCAAUCCACAAGUACAGCUUUGCUCGUCUGAAUGUAGUUUCGUCCAUCGUUGCUUUCUAAUCUCCAUGUAGUUUAUAGCCCUAAAUUUGAAGCCGUCGAUUGCCUUUGCUUGGCGUUCCGAUCUCAUAUAUGGUCGAUAUGGUUCCAUAGAUUGUUUCUUGUAAUGUGAACCUUUAAUUUAUUGAUAUGAGUGCUCUAGUCGUGUCCAUGUCCGACACCAAAACUUGCAGGAUUGGUACUUCAGCAUAUAUUAGGACUCAUGUAUCACCUGCAAUUUCUUUAUGUUGGUGUCGGAUCCGAAGCCCUUCGUAUCAUUUGCAUAAGGUUUCUAAACACAUUGAAUAGUGGAAAUAUAUAUGUUCUUUUGAUUUUUAACUUACUGUCACUUGAAUGAUCUAUGUAACUUUUAUAAAUAAGUAUCUUUUGCCAAUGGUUGAUAAAAGUUAGAUUUGUGAUGAUCAUAGAGUAUCUAAAUUGCCUUGAUUUAUAUUAAUAGACAAAAUUAUAACAACAUAUGAAAAUUAUGUAUUGAUAAUUGUUGUAUCACGAACUUAGCUGAUUUUGUCUAAGUCGUACGGUGCCCUUAUAUGUCCAUCCGCAAAGAGUUAGCAUAUUUGAAACCUUUUAGGGUCCCUUAAGGACCAACAAAAGAGAGGACGAGUUAGUAGAAGCAUUUAACUCAGGAUCCCACAAGUAGCCAUUUCAAUAAACACUUGAUAGGCAAUGCAAAUUACAAGUAUAGACUUCGCAAGCACUGAACGAUUGCGCGACAAAAAAUCCAAGAUUGAUGUAAGACAGAAACAAAAAUAAGAAAUUUCUACUAAAAAAAAUUCUAGCAACUGACCUGAUGAGGAAAAUCAACUCCUUAUGGUGGAGAAACCUUUACAACACUUGAAAAUAUUUUUUCUUUUAUGAUUUCAUAGGCUUAGAGGAGGUAUUUAUUUAUAUUAGUUUUAGGUCUUCAAAACUAACUAACUAACAAUGUGGGACUAUUGAAAGAAACAUAAAACAUAAAAAUUAACAAUGUGGGAUAAAUAAAAGUGAUAAGUGGGUAGCUUGUUCUUUGAAAAUAGUCUUCUUCUGCUUUUUCUGCAUUAAUCCUCGUCACUUGAGAAAAAACUCGUCCUUAAGUUUAUGUUUGGAUAAAAUGGAUUCUCAUUUGGAAAGUAGCUAUGUAAGUAUGCAACAUUGAAGGUCUUUGAGAUCCCCCAAUCAUCUGGUAAAUCAAUUACAUAGGCAUUGUUAUUGAUUUUCUUUAAGACCUUGUAGGGACCAUAUAUCUUCGGAUUCAAUUUGUUGUAAGUGCCUAUGGGAAAUCUCUCUUUUCGCAAAUACACUAAAACCAUAUCUUUUUUCUUGAAUAUAUUCUCUCUUAUGCUUAUCAAUUGAUUUCUUGUACUUAGCAUUAUUAGCUUCCAACUUCUUAGGUGUUAACAAAGUCGGGACUGCACAGAGGCUCAUACUUUUUUGAAUGUCUCUUUUGUAUCAACUUUUCUACUUUCUCCCCCAGCAUCUCAUUCUCUUUUGGGUUCAUCCGGUAGUGAGGUAAAUUUGAUAGAUUUGCUCAAAGAGUCAAAUCAAUUUGGUAUUGAAUAUCUCUUAUGGGUGAAAGUCCAUAUGGUAACUCUUCGAGGGUGAUCUCUUUGAAUUCUUCCAAUAUCGAUCUUAGUUCGUUUGGAAUCUUUAAUUCAUGUAGCUUUUCUUCAUUUACAAUAAGAGCAUAGCAUACUCUUGUUUCUUUAGAAUUAACAAUGAAUUCCUGCACAGAGUUGGAAAUAGAUAAGAGACUUCCCCUUUACUUUAGAAGUGUUGGUUUCAUCUUCCUUUUUGUUAGUCGAUAGAAUGACAAUCUUCUUUCCAUUCCACCAGAACACAUAGACAUUCUUUCUUCUAACGUGAUGUCACGAACGGUCGUCGCGCACCCGCAACAGCUCCGUUCAACAAACCGUUCGUCGCUCUCAUCUACAUGUACAACUGCUUGGCAGCAUGUUUUGGCUUGGUUUUAAGUCCUUUUGCUUGUAAAAAUGUAAGUUCGAACAAGUUGCAGUGCUACAGUGUGACUGCUCACCAAACCGAGCAAAACAGUCUCAAAACAGCUCCGUUUUGGCGUACCACGGGCUAUUUUCUGCAGUCCGCUGCUGCACGCGAAAUGUCAGUCAUCUCAGCACCCUGGAACCACCCGAGUGGUACCAUGGGGGAUGGGGCUUUGGUAUAGUGUCGGGCAUUGAACAACCUUUCGUAAGUUCACAUGUUACCUUGACGGGAAAUUGUUGUCGCGCCCGGCACCCGGUGAGCAGCUGUUUGUGGACUUGCAGUUGUUCGUUCAACCUUCUAAAGUUCUUGUUUUCCUCCUCUCCCUCUUUUCUCUUGUGUACGCUAGGUGCUCGCUGAAUUGCUUGUAAAGCUUCCCCUUUUCACGAGACGUCGGGACUUGUUCGUCGCUCGUUCUUCGAACUAAUUAACUUUCUCUUUUACAGGUCCUUCGGGACCUGCGAGAGGUUGCAAGUGGGCUGAUCUUUGCGGACGUAAAUCGCAAGGGCGAAGCGCGACUUAGGCAACACAAGCUAAGUUCGCGUCUUUGCCACAAGGGUGCCUCGCAACUUAGGCAACGCAAGCUAAGUUCGCGUCUUUGCCGCAAGGGUGCCUCACGACUUAGGCAAUUCCAACUAAGUCCGUGACAGUGAGUUGCAUUCAUAUCAUACUACCAUGGUCGUCCAAGUAGUACAUCGCACGUAUCCAUGUCAACUACCUCAUGUAUAACUUCCUCCUUGUAACUUUUCCCAAUUGAGAAAAGAACUCUACAGAUCUUAGUUACGGUGACAGUUGAGCCUUCUUUAAUCCACCCUAGCUUGUAUGGUGUUGGAUGAGUCUUCGCCUGUAAUUUUAAGUGCCUCACCAGUGAUUUAAAUAUAAUGUUGUCACAACUUCCAUUGUCUAUAAUAAAUGCACAAACUUUGUUAUUAAUACUGCAUUGAGAAUGAAAGAUUUUCUUACACUGAGAUACAACUUCUUGCCUUGGGGUAAGUAAUAACAUUUUCACAACGCAUGCGACGUAUUCCCUUUCUUCCGAUAAGGUCCCUUUGAUGCCUAAGGUAGUAAUUGAUUUAGAUGAUUCAACUAGAUUUCCAGCAAAAAAGAUUGUGUCAUGCCUUUUAUAGUGGGCUUCGAGUGUCGUUAUCUCCGCAAUAGGCGCUAGCUAUAAAGGUCAUGUUGCGCUUCUCCCAAACUUUACUCUAGUUGUGAUGCAUCCAAUCCAAUGUGUAGUAACGUCCAGGUCGCUUUGUCAUGUGCUUNNNNNNNNNNNNNNNNNNNNUAUAGGUGCCCUACAAGUCAAUCACGUAAGUGAUGACACGUAUGACAUGACACGCACUCUUUUUGCUUAUUAUAUUAUUUGACAUUUUAUCAUUUUACAUUGUUUGUUGCAUAUAUAUAUAUAUAUAUAUAUAUAUAUAUAUAUAUAUAUAUAUAUAUAUAUAUAUAUAUGUCCAUGGAUCUGUACAAUGAGAAUCGGAUCAUGAUGAGAUCACAAUAAUGAGACCGAUUCACCUUGAAACACAGACCCUAAAUAAUCCUGAUCAUAGGUUACUCGAGAGGAAUAUCGAGAUAACUAGACAGACUAGUGUGUUGUAUAACCAUUCAUAUGAUGGAGGCAGCUGGUCUCAUAGUUGCUCAUGUGGGGAUACUAGGGCUACAGUGCAGGUACUCAUUAGAGAAUGAGUUCACUGAUUGAUCCGCUCAUGGAAUGCGAGGCGGUUAAUGAUAUCUCAUUGUCAGACAGCGAUUCCGUUGUCCCAAUGGUGUAUCUGGUCCUUAGACUUGAGACAUCAAGGAUGUCCUGUAUGAGUACUUCACUCUUUGAUAUCAGACUUAUAGCCCUGGAAGUUCCAGAUCUAACACAGCUGGUCAUCGGGAGUGGCAGCCAACCUUACAUGGACUAUUGAGUGUCGAUAGAUGAUCAUCCACUCUCGGUGUCAUGAGAGAAAUAUCACAUGUUUUCUUGCUCAGACAAAUCCCUGGCCAGGGUCAUUCGGAUUGAGAGUGAAAGAGUUCUUUGGGAGAAUCCGAUUAGAGCGAAACUCGAAUAGAAACCGUAUGGGUCUGAUAGCAUCAUGCCCGGUAUGCGGUCUCUGUGAUAUUAGAUAGAUGAGAGACCAUAAAUACACGGUAACUGAGGACAAACAAGUUCAAUGGAUUGGAUUCCCCUGUAUCGUUUGGGGACUGCGGCGUAGUGGCCUAGUACGUCCGUAAUCGAUGAGUCGAGUGAAUUAUUAUGGAGAUAAUAAUUCGCUGAGCCAGAAUGAGUUCUGACAGGUUUGACUCACGACCAGCUCGAUAUGGGGUCUAGAGGGUCACACACAUAUGAUAGGCGUUGCGACGAAUAAAGGUCCGGAUAUAAGAUAUCCGUCGGAGCCCCUAUCUUAUUGGAUAUCCAAUAAGCUCAUAAAUUACUGGAUCCUAUGGAUGAGAUCUAAUAAGAGCCAAUGAGAGAUUAUUGGAUAUAGAUCCACUAAUCUAAGAGGUUUGGGUAGUUGGAUGAAGAUUCAAUACCCAAUAUGACAUGAUUCAUUAGGGUUAAGUUGACAGGGGGCCUCUAUAAAUAAGAGGAAACCAAACACUCAUAGGCUAGAGGUUUUCUUAGUUGUCACCUCUUAUUGUCUUCUUCUCUUCUCCUCCUCAGAUAGUAGGUGUAGAGAUUUGUGUAGCGAUUUGAGGAGCGUCACCGCAGCCCUACUGUGUGGAUCACCGCUAGAGAGGACGCUUGACCUCCUUCAUCCCCUCUUACAGAUCUGCAGGGAUUUAGGAAUAUAUGAUCUCCUUAAGUAAUACAACUAUCUCACGCGUGGUUUCAGUUUCGCGGAUUUUACGCACCAAUCUUCGCACGACAAUAAACAUCUUUUUGGGAAAUUUGGGGUUUUUAUUUUUUUUUUUUCCGCUGCGCAUGUGAUGUCGUUCCUAGAUUUCCAUAUAGUAUCAACCACUUGAUGUCGAGGUGUCGACCACUUAAUGUCGAGGUGAUAGAUUUUGAUUAAAUUAUGAUUAAAUAAUCUUGAUCUUAUUUGAUAAAAUAGAUUAUCUAACUCAAAAGCAAUAGUUUUUUGUUUUUUCUGCUAUGGUAAUACUAAUAUAUCCUCACUGAAAGAGUGGUACUACUGCAAAUAGUAAAUAGCUGUGCUUCUUCUGGCUAUUGGUUAGCAUUUGAAGUUUGUGUAUGCUUUAGUUUCUUCCGAUAAGGUCCCUUUGAUGCCUAAGGUAGUAGUUGAUUCAGAUGAUUCAACUAGCUUUCCAACAGAAAAGAUUGUGUCCUUGGGAAUGUACUUGAGGUGCCUUUUAUAGUGGGCUUCGAGUGUCGUUAUCUCCAAAUAGUAAAUAGCUGUGCUUCUUCUGGCGAUUGGUUAGCAUUUGAAGUUUGUGUAUGCUUUAGUUUCUCCUCUAAUGCUGCAAAUUUUUAGAGUUAUUUCAGUGAAAUUAACAACUGAAUGAUGCAGGCUAUCACACGACGAUGAAGAAUGCCAUCAGAAGUAGUCUUUGGUCAUCAACUCCUAAUAAAUAUCAUGAACUCUUGAAUGAAAGCACAUAGCUGAUUCCAGUUUGAAGAUUCAAACCCAUCAACACGGCAAGAAACUUUGUCAAGUUUGAGAUUCAGGUAUCACACUUCUCUCUUAUUUUUCAGGUUUAAUCCGAAAUGUUUGUCGAAAGUGUUAAGCAAUAUGUUUUGUGUUUAGCAUGCGGAAACAACAAGCAAUGUGGCUCUACUUGAUGUUGUUCUUCCUAUGCUUCAGAUAACAUUAUUAAUCGAAUUUAUAUUUAGAUCAUGUGGGUAAUGCUUCCUUUUUUUCCUUGACCUUUGUUGGAUUGCAGCUCUACAAGACU
rnacentral:lncRNA from 1 species